rnacentral:misc_RNA from 1 species
AAGUCGUAACAAGGUUUCCGUAGGUGAAGCUGCGGAAGGAUCAUUAUUGAAUUUAAUGAAGGGAUUUGGUUGUAGCUGGUUCAUUAAUUUGGGCAUGUGCACACCUUCUCUCUUUCAUCCACACACACCUGUGCACCCGUGAGGCAGAUGGGGAAUUUAUUGAUUGUUUUUUAAGAACAAUUGGUGUCGGACCCUCUGUCUACUCAAUAUAUAAACUCAAUUUAUUUAGAAAUGAAUGUAAUGGAUGUAACACAUCUAAUACUAAGUUUCAACAACGGAUCUCUUGGCUCUC